AUACAGAGGGUGCGAGCGUUAAUCGGAAUUACUGGGCGUAAAGGGCACGCAGGUGGAUGUAUAAGUUGGAUGUGAAAGCCAAGGGCUUAACCUUUGGAUGCCAUCCAAAACUGUACAUCUAGAGUAUGGUAGAGGUAAGUGGAAUUUCCGGAGUAGCGGUGAAAUGCGUAGAUAUCGGAAGGAACAUCAGUGGCGAAGGCGGCUUACUGGACUAAUACUGACACUGAGGUGCGAAAGCGUGGGGAGCGAACAGGAUUAGAAACCCCAGUAGUCC
rnacentral:rRNA from 1 species